UAACCACACCUCCUACCACAGAAACAUCAACUCCUGCCCCAACCACCACAUCAACAACCACAUCUCCUACAACUACAACCUCAACUCUUGCCCCAACAUUUACAACAAUAAACACACCUACUACCACAGAAACCUCAACUCUUGCCCCAACAUUUACAACAAUAACCACACCUCCUACCACAGAAACAUCAACUCCUGCCCCAACCACCACAUCAACAACCACAUCUCCUACAACUACAACCUCAACUCUUGCCCCAACAUUUACAACAAUAAACACCAGUCCUACACCUACAGUUAUAACUAUAACCUCAACUGCUGCAACAAGAUCUACAUCAACAGCUCUUACAACUUUUUCAACAACAUUGACUCCAGCAAACCUGACCACGUUUGCAGAUGUAAAGGUAAACAUAACCAGCUAUGAAACUCUUGACAACAGUACAAUCAUUUCAUACAUUGAACAGUUCUUUAAUCAGAUAAGCCACAACGCCCUUGGACCUCUGACGGUGACCGUGAAACGCAUCACAAAAUGUAACGGCGCCCAGUGCACGAACCAGCUGGUAUCCAGCGCCAGCCCUUAACCCUCAUCCACCCAGUGCCAGCCCUUAUCCCCACUCAUCCGUCCAGCGCCAGCCCUUAACACUCAUCCGCCCAGCGCCAGCCCAUAUCCCCAGUUAUCUGUCCAGCGCCAGCCCUUAACUCUCAUCCACCCUCAUGGACUCUAUGAACAGUGCUCUAUUUAGGCUUUGAUAUAAUGAAUGAUGAGAUGAUGGCUAUAUGGAUCCAUAUUUAACUGAUACGCUGCUGCACUUUGGUUGUUUUGUCUUGUUCAAGAAAAGAGUCUUAAUGGACAAGAUAUAAAUUUGUGUCUAUAUGAAUAUACACGUAUGCCUAGCCCAAUAAAUAUAUUUUUAUGUUUU